GGGCCAGUAGCUCAACGGUAGAGCGCCGCAGUGGCUCUGCGGAGGCUUCGGGUUCAAAUCCCGACUGGUCCA
rnacentral:tRNA from 1 species